AAUCAACGCUGGCGGCGUGCCUAACACAUGCAAGUCGAACGCGAAAAGGGCUUCGGCUCUUAGUAGAGUGGCAAACGGGUGAGUAACACGUGGGUGACCUACCUUCGAAUGGGGGAUAACGUCCCGAAAGGGACGCUAAUACCGCAUAACAUCCUGCCUUUGAACAGGUGGAGAUCAAAGCCGGGGAUCGCAAGACCUGGCGUUUGAAGAGGAGCCUGCGGCGGAUUAGCUUGUGGUAAGGUAACGGCUUACCAAGGCGACGAUCCGUAGCCGGCCUGAGAGGGCGGUCGGCCACACUGACACUGACAUACGGGUCAGACUCCUACGGGAGGCAGCAGUCGGGAAUUUUGGGCAAUGGGCGAAAGCCUGACCCAGCAACGCCGCGUGAAGGAUGAAAUCCCUCGGGAUGUAAACUUCGCAAGAAUGGGAAGAA
rnacentral:rRNA from 1 species